ACUGUCUAGAGACCAUCCACAGCAAAGUGGCCUGAACUGAAGAGUGACACUGGGCUGUCAUUUUCAUUGGGAUAUUUACAUAUAAACAGAGAAUCCACGGAGAAUGAAGGCUACCUCUGGGACCAAAGGAACAGAAAUUUUCUGGAGAUAAACCAGCGUGGCUGAGGAACAGGAAACGGACACUUAGCAGAACUGGGGACGAGCCUCCUUGGAUUCUGCACAACGGGGAAGGAGGGAGGGAAGCCCUCGCCACCGGCAGCUGCCCCUUCCCUUCCCUGGCCGUGCACAAAGGGGCAGCCCCGGCUCCCGGCGGCAGGACACGGCCCCUCGCCCUUCUGCCGCCACCACAGAACGGGAGCUCGCCGGCCAUCCGGUGGCCCCGCUGUCCCUCCGCCUGGCGGGCGCUGCCCUGCGGAGGGACAGGGGUCCCGGAGCCUCCCGAGUUCGGGCAGCGAUCUCGGGCAGCCGCCCCCCGUCCCCGGCAGGCACUGACCUGUGCAGCAGGACGCUCUGCACCGAGUCCAGGUCCUCCAGGUUUCUGGUGACGGGCCGCGGGAUGCUGUACCUGCCCGCCCCGAACAUCGCGGGCGGCCGGGGGGGGGGGGGGGGGGGGGGGGGGGGGGGGGGGGGGGGGGGGGGGGGGGGGGGGGGGGGGGGGGGGGGGG
rnacentral:lncRNA from 1 species